AGGCAGGGUAGUUUAUAAAAAAUAAGUGUUUUACACACACUAGAAGUCAUUAGGACUUCUGCCUU
rnacentral:tRNA from 1 species